GUAUACUAAUUUAUCCAAACUAAAUAGUAAAUUACAUUUUUUUUUGUUAAAAGCUAAUAAUUCAUAAAGGCUCAUGGCUUAAAUACAUAAAAGUAUUAACAAUAAAAAUAAAAGCCAUCCAACCCAUUAACACAAGAAGUCAAAGCCCACAUACAAAGAUCCCUAGGAAUUUGGUGGCUCUAACCCGCAAAUGUUGACCCAACGUAGAAAGAAUUCCCACACCAUACCACCAACAUCAUCGAGCCAUCCAUAACCAAAGGAGAAAAUGACCAUCAUUGACGCUCGAGGGAGGAAGCCUCAAUAGCAGAAUUAAAAGGAGCAACCACAGAGAGCAAAUACCACUCUAGAAGAACUUCACACUCAUAACAAAACAUUCCCUAUGCCAUCUGCGAAUAUGAAAAAAAGGUCAAACUGAUGGAGAGAGGUAGGCGACAAGGUGGAGCCCUUAUAACUCUUCGGCUAUUAAAAGACUAGAUGCCAUGAGAAUGGCAUCAAUACCGUCUCCAAUAGGUACCACGCCAAUGAAACCAAGAAUUUGUUUAUCAUCGAUCCGAAGCAGCCAAAAUAAAUGAAACCAUGAACACCAUUGAAUCAAGGCUCAACACCAGUAAAGCUGUAGUAGACCAAAGAAAAAUGAGACUUACAGAUCUUCAUGUAAGCGCCCUUUUUCAAAGAAACCCAUACCUAAGAUUUAAGAAUGUAAAAGUCAUUGACAAAAACAUUACUUACAGCCCUAUCUUAAAAACGGAAGGGUGGAAACUCACAUGUUUGGCUAGGAUUAGCCAAG
rnacentral:misc_RNA from 1 species